UACGUAGGGCGCAAGCGUUAUCCGGAAUUAUUGGGCGUAAAGAGCUCGUAGGCGGUUUGUCGCGUCUGCCGUGAAAAUUCGAGGCUCAACCUCGAACUUGCGGUGGGUACGGGCAGACUAGAGUGUGGUAGGGGAGACUGGAAUUCCUGGUGUAGCGGUGAAAUGCGCAGAUAUCAGGAGGAACACCGAUGCGAAGGCAGGUCUCUGGGCCACUACUGACGCUGAGAAGCGAAAAGCAUGGGGGAGCGAACAG
rnacentral:rRNA from 1 species